rnacentral:rRNA from 1 species
GACGAACGCUGGCGGCGUGCCUAAUACAUGCAAGUUGAGCGCUGAAGGUUGGUACUUGUACCAACUGGAUGAGCAGCGAACGGGUGAGUAACGCGUGGGGAAUCUGCCUUUGAGCGGGGGACAACAUUUGGAAACGAAUGCUAAUACCGCAUAAAAACUUUAAACACAAGUUUUAAGUUUGAAAGAUGCAAUUGCAUCACUCAAAGAUGAUCCCGCGUUGUAUUAGCUAGUUGGUGAGGGAAAGGCUCACCAAGGCGAUGAUACAUAGCCGACCUGAGAGGGUGGUCGGCCACAUUGGGACGGAGACACGGCCCAAACUCCUACGGGAGGCAGCAGUAGGGAAUCUUCGGCAAUGGACGAAAGUCUGACCGAGCAACGCCGAGUGAGUGAAGAAGGUUUUCGGAUCGUAAAACUCUGUUGGUAGAGAAGAACGUUGGUGAGAGUGGAAAGCUCAUCAAGUGACGGUAACUACCCAGAAAGGGACGGCUAACUACGUG